rnacentral:rRNA from 1 species
CGUGAUACUGCAGUCUGAAUGCGGAUGCCGUGGGAGGAAUGUGUGUGUAGCGGUGAAAUGCAUAGAUAUCACACAGAACAUCGAUUGCGAAGGCAUCUCACGAAUCCGCUAUUGACGCUGAUGCACGAAAGCGUGGGGAUCAAACAGGAUUAGAUACCCUGGUAGUCACGCUGUAAACGAUGAUAACUAACCGUCGGCGAUACACUGUCGGUGGCCAAGCGAAAGCGAUAAGUUAUCCACCUGGGGAGUACGACCGCAAGGUUGAAACUCAAAGGAAUUGACGGGGGCCCGCACAAGCGGAGGAACAUGUGGUUUAAUUCGAUGAUACGCGAGGAACCUUACCCGGGCUCGAACGGCAGGGGAAUGACUCAGAGAUGGGUCAGUCUUCGGACUCCUGUCGAGGUGCUGCAUGGUUGUCGUCAGCUCGUGCUGUGAAGUGUCGGCUUAAGUGCCAUAACGAGCGCAACCCUUGCCGUCAGUUGCCAUCAGGUAAUGCUGGGGACUCUGGCGGGACUGCCACCGCAAGGUGUGAGGAAGGGGGGGAUGACGUCAAAUCAGCACGGCCCUUACGUCCGGGGCGACACACGUGUUACAAUGGUGGGUACAGAGGGAUGCUACCAGGCGACUGGAUGCGGAUCUCGAAAACCCAUCCCAGUUCGGAUUGGAGUCUGCAACCCGACUCCAUGAAGUUGGAUUCGCUAGUAAUCGCGCAUCAGCCAUGGCGCGGUGAAUACGUUCCCGGGCCUUGUACACAC